GGCAACUCUGAUCCAGCCAUGCCGCGUGAAGGAAUAAGGCCCUAUGGGUUGUAAACUUCUUUUAGACGGGACAAAACCCCUUUACGUGUAAAGGGUUGAUGGUACUGUCAGAAUAAGCAUCGGCUAACUUCGUGCCAGCAGCCGCGGUAAUACGAAGGAUGCAAGCGUUAUCCGGAAUUAUUGGGUUUAAAGGGUGCGUAGGCGGACUAAUAAGUCAGUGGUGAAAGCCUGCAGCUUAACUGCAAAAUUGCCAUUGAUACUGUUUGUCUUGAGUACAGUUGAGGUAGGCGGAAUGAGUCAUGUAGCGGUGAAAUGCCUAGAUAUGACACAGAACACCGAUCGCGAAGGCAUCUUGCUAAGCUGUAACUGACGCUGAGGCACGAAAGCGUGGGGAGCAA
rnacentral:rRNA from 1 species